rnacentral:pre_miRNA from 1 species
UUGAUACUCUCCGUCCGGAAUUACUUGUCGUAGAAAUAAAUGUAUCUAGACGUAUUUUACUUUUAAAUACAUCAAUUUUUUUUCAUUUUGGUGACAAGUAAUUCUGGACGGAGGGAGUACUAC